rnacentral:lncRNA from 1 species
CAUCCAUAUGGAGAAGGAUAUGAUCCAUGCCAAGAAAGAGACCGCUCGUGAGGCUAAAGAAACCUUAACUCAUGCUGUUGGAAAAGCCAAAGACACAGUUUAUAACACAGCCCAUGAUGUUCACCAACAAACAAAAGAGUCUUUUGAUAAAGCAAAGGAGACAGGCCAAACCUUAAAGGAGCAUGUUGUUCGAAACGUGUCAGAGGCUAAGGAUAGUUUGAGUUAUGCAGUGAAGCAUGGUGCAACCAACUAUAUUAUAGGAUCGAUGGAUACACUCAUGAGGGUGGCUAAUCUGGUUGGUUUUGCCACGGCUUAUGGAAUGAAUGUGUGGAUUACUUUUAUAUCAAGCUAUGUUUUGUCAAGGGUUAUGCCAAGAGCAACAUUUGGUGUGGUGCAGAGUAAGAUAUACCCUAUUUAUUUCAGGGCUAUGGCUUAUAGUAUUGGGAUUGCUUUAUUGGGGCAUGUCUUGGCCCAUAGAAAGAGGUUGUUCUUCAACAUGCCUGAAAUAUUCCAAGCUUAUAACCUUCUAACUUCCCUUUUCACUGUUUUCAUCAAUUCUCUUUACCUGGGGCCUCGCACAGCCAAGGUAAGUAAUUGAUUUAUAGUUGUUUUUAAGUUUGGAUUAUUUAUUUGUUUUGAAGUUUUUGAUGGUGGAUAUAUUAUCAGUUGAUAUCGGAGAGGAUGAAAAUAGAAAAGGAAGAAGGAAGGGGAAGAGAUGAUAUAAUGAGUAGCAGCAGAACACAAGAGCAUCAUCAUCAUCAUCAUACUACAAAAACAGCAACAACAACUACUACUACUACAAGAGAAAGAGAAGGGGUAGUAGAGAAUGAUGCAGCAAGGAUUAUAAAGCUGAAGAAUGAGAAGCUGAAGAGAUUGAAUUCAUAUUCUUCUAUUUUAAAUAUUCUCAUUCUCAUCUCUCUUACUUUCCAUCUCCUUUAUUUAGCCACAAACAAAUGUAUGCACUGAUCAAUAAUAUAUAUAAUCUAAUUAGUUACCUUAGCUCAUCACUAAUUAGUUUUUGGGUUACCUGCACCUUUAUGUCAUUACUAAAAACUACAUGCAAACUACAUAAUUACAAUGUCCUAUAUAUUUUCUAAUGAAUCUCACAACACACAAAAAUCCUAUCAAUUAUCUUACUCUAAAUUACUCUAAACAUAAGAAGAAAACAGAAAGAAAAUAAAGAGAAAUUUUCAUACAAUUUUUAUAGUUGAUAUUUUGAUGUCAGUGUAAUGGAAAAUGGGAAUAUACGGUUUGUGUAAUUUGUAGCAAUGAAAUUAAAAGAGAAGGUAAAUAGUGAAAAGAAAAGUUUUGGGAAAGAGUAGUCAUUUAUUACCUUAGUCUUUGAGUGUUGAAAUUGAAUCCCAACAAUAACUUUACUUCUCCAUCAAGAACUGAACGGAUCGAGGGAGAUACAGGUUUAAAAACUAAGUUUGUAAUUUGUAUCUAUCUGGUUACUACAUUGACUCAUAAUUAUCUAUUCCUUGAGACUGAUAUAUAUUGAAC